UACACUCCGCCGGCCACAGGUGUCCUGCCGCCGUACCGGCGAGCAGGGUGAAACGGGAAGCCGGUGCGAGUCGACAGACUCCAUUCCGGCGCUGCCCCCGCAACGGUAGGCGAGAACACCCGACUCAAUACCACUGCGAUUUCGCGGGAAGGUGUCGGGGUGAUGCGGAUCGCUCCGCAUCGCUCGCAAGCCCGGAGACCGGCCAGUGGCGGGCAUCGCAU
rnacentral:ncRNA from 1 species